UAGAAUAGCACUUUGUGGUAAACCUAUAGCUGCGUUUCUAAAUAUUUAACUGUAUGUUCACAUUCAGGAUCUGAAGAUUCAGAAACUAAAAUGGAACGGGUUUCUAAGCUUGCGCUGGUACGAUGCAAUCCUAUCAUGGAAUGCCAGUGAGUAUGGAGACCUGGACUUCAUCACUGUGCCACAGUCGAAAAUAUGGCGUCCUGACUAUGUCAUCAACAAUGAUGUUUCUCAGAAAACGAGCCUGGGAACACCGGACACUCUCGUUUUCAUAGAAAGCAGUGGAUUAGUCACUUGGGAACCGGGAAUGGUUAGUGAAACAAGCUGCAAAAUUGACAUCAGGAAGUACCCCUUCGACACCCAG